rnacentral:rRNA from 1 species
CCUGCCAGUAAUGAUAUGCUUGCAUAAAGGACUAAGCCAUGCAUGUAUAAGUUCACACCUUUAUAAGGUGAAACCGCAUAUGGCUCAUUAAAUCAGUUAUAAUUCCUUAGAUCUUAUAUCCCUCUACUUGGAUAACUGUAGAAAUUCUAGAGCUAAUACAUGCCUUUAAUGCCUUAGCCUUCGGGUUAGGGUGGAUUUAUUAGAUCAAAACCAACACGUGCUUCGGUGCGUUAGGUUUGAUGACUCUGGAUAACUCUACCUGAUCGCAUGGCCUUGUGCCAGCGACGUAUCUUCCAAGUUGCUGCCCUAUCAACUUUCGAUGGUAGGUUAUAUGCCUACCAUGGUUGUAACGGGUAACGGGGAAUCAGGGUUCGAUUCCGGAGAGGGAGCCUUAGAAAUGGCUGCUACAUCUAAGGAAGGCAGCAGGCGCGCAAUUUACCCACUGUUAGUGAACAGCGAGGUAGCGACAAUAAAUAACAAUACAGAACUCUAUUGAGGCUCUGUAAUUGGAAUGAGUACAAUUUAAAUCCUUUAACGAGGAACAAUUGGAGGGCAAGUCUGGUGCCAGCAGCCGCGGUAAUUCCAGCUCCAAUAGCGUAUAUUAAAAUUGUUGCAGUUAAAAAGCUCGUAGUUGGAUCUGAGGUUGUGGAUGCAUUGUUUGCCUUCUAGGCAUUACUUUGCAUCCCACCUUCUUAGUCGUAGCUAUUGCUAGUACUCUUCAUUGAGUCGCUAGUGAUGCACGGCAUGUUUACUUUGAAAAAAUUAGAGUGCUUAAAGCAGGCUUUUUGCCUGUAUAUUGUUGCAUAGAAUAAUAUAAAAAGGCUCCGCUAACAUUUUGUUGGUUUUCGUUAUUAUGCGGAGCAAUGAUUAAAAGGAGUAGAACGGGGGCAAAAGUAUGGCCACGAUAGAGGUGAAAUUCGUUGACCGUGGCCCGACUGCCUACAGCGAAAGCAUUUGCCAAGAAUGCCUUCAUUAAUCAAGAACGAAAGUCAGAGGUUCGAAGACGAUCAGAUACCGUCCUAGUUCUGACUGUAAACUAUGCCAACUGACCAUCAUAGCGAUAUUUCGUUGCUAUGGCAGUCCCAGGGAAACCUAAAGUUAGGUUCUGGGGGGAAUAUGGUCGCAAGUCCGAAACUCAAAGGAAUUGACGGAAGGGCACCACCAGGAGUGGAGCCUGCGGCUUAAUUUGACUCAACACGGGAAAACUCACCCGGCCCGGACACUAUAAGGAUUGACAGAUUGAUAGAUCUUUCAUGAUCUAGUGAAUGGUGGUGCAUGGCCGUUCUUAGUUGGUGGAGUGAUUUGUCUGGUUAAUUCCGAUAACGAACGAGACUCACACCUGCUAAAUAGUGCACUCAUACGGAGAAUUUAUGCUACCGUAGUGAGUGUUACUUCUUAGAGGGAUUAGUGACUUCUAGUCACAUGAAAUUGAGCAAUAACAGGUCUGUGAUGCCCUUAGAUGUCCGGGGCCGCACGCGCGCUACAAUGACAGUGGCAAAAAGUACCCGGCCUGAAAAGGCUAGGCAAUCUUUAAAUCACUGUCGCGUCAGGGAUCAGGGUUUGUAAUUAUCCCCUGUGAACGAGGAAUUCCCAGUAAGCAUACGUCAUCAGCUUAUGCUGAUUACGUCCCUGCCCUUUGUACACACCGCCCGUCGCUACUACCGAUUGAAUGGUUUAGUGAGGUUAUCGGAUUGGGAGCAUAAGAGUAGCUUGCUACCCUUAAUGUUACUGAAAAGAUAAUCAAACUUGAUCAUUUAGAGGAAGUAAAAGUCGUAACAAGGCAGCCGUAGGUGAACCUGCAGAUGGAU